rnacentral:misc_RNA from 1 species
GAUGAAGAACGUAGCGGAAUGCGAUACUUGGUGUGAAUUGCAGAAUCCCGUGAACCAUCGAGUCUUUGAACGCAAGUUGCGCCCGAAGCCACUAGGCCGAGGGCACGCCUGCCUGGGCGUCACACGCCGUUGCCCCCCCAUCUACUCCUUCGGGAUUGCGGGGGGGCGGAUGAUGGCCUCCCGUGCGCCUAGCCGCGCGGUUGGCAUAAAUACCAAGUCCUCGGCGACGCACGCCACGACAAUCGGUGGUUGCGAAACCUCGGUUGCCCGUCGUGUGCGUUCGUCGCGCAUCGAGGGCUCGAAAAAAUGCUCGGCUCCGGCUGGGCUUUCAACGCGACCCCAGGUCAGGCGGGGUUACCCGCUGAAUUUAAGCAUAUCAAUAAGCGGAGGA